rnacentral:lncRNA from 1 species
CGGUCUAUGGAGUUAAUUCAGCUGUUUAAAGCGAUGAAUCAAACCGUGACGGUUCAGAUUUUUAGAACCGUAGACGAAACUGCGCCAUGGAAGACACGGGCAGAGCUUCUAAUUUAUGAUUCGUCUAACUCUUCAUCACGAAACAUCAUUGUUGUGGAAGAGCUUCAGAGAUCGAUGAAGUAUAUGAACCCUAAUUUAAGUUUCAAUUAGAUGAUGAUGAAAGAACGCUACCAGAUCUCAUGUGUGUCUUCAUCGAGGCGGAGAUGAAACUGGUUAACUCUAAUAUCAAAACGCCGCGUAACACCGCUUUACAAUUAGAGUAGUCUGAAUUUAA